AUUUAUUAUGGGCUUAAAUGUUAAAGGAAAGCCAACGAAGAAUGUAGGAAAAAAAGAACAUUUUCAUGAAAAUGAAGUAGGCAGAAUUCUUAAGCAGAACCUAAAAGUGCUGAACCACAGAGAAAAAAGAUUAGCACAAUGUUUUAACAUUCUGAAGAGCAAAGAAAACCAAGCCUCAAAGUAGGCGUGAUUUUAAUAUCUAUGUCUAAAGUGGAUUCAUAACCAGAAUGCAUAAGGAGCUCCGACAGAUCAAUAAGAAAAAAAAUGAAUGGGCUCGUAGAAGAACUGGCAAACCUUUGGAAGGGCACUUCACAAAUGAGACCACUCAAAAAAUGGCCAAUUAACGUAUGGAGACCAUGGGGCGAGUGAAACAGUGGGAGAAGCAAAGUGCUGGCAGGACCCCAGACGGAGCGGCCAGCACGCUCAUACGGCUGGUGGGGUUGUGUACUGCUACAGCCUCUUGGGAAACUGGAGCGUCUAAAGUUGAACACAGGUGUAGACAAAUUGAACACAGGUAUAAAUGAUCGGUGUUAGAGUCACACAGGAGAAUACCAUUCAGCAGUGGGAAUGACCAACUGUAUGCAGUGGUGUGGGUGAGUCUCAGAAAUAGUGAGCACAAAAAUCCAUGUCCCAAAGCAAGUGUAUGUGUAAAUCCAUUUAUACAAAAUUUGAAAACAAGCAGAUCCAAUCUGUGGGGCGAGGGGUUGAGGGGGAAGGGCUUCCAGGUACAGCUGAAGCUGUUUAUUUUGGUGCCGGCUACAUGAGUGUGAAUGGUUUCUGAGAAUUUAUCAAGCGGCACUCUUAGGACUUACACUUUUUGUAUGUCCAUUGUACUUAAAUGCUGGCUCAAAACCGUCAGAAAUCAGCCCUGGAAGGGAUGUACCUAAUUCCAGUCUCUGGGUUAUAGGGACUUCUUGCUUUCUUCUUUAGGUCCAUGUUUUUCCAAGAUGAGCAUAUAUCACUUGGACUGUAAAACAAUUUUUUGGUUUUGUUUUGCCUGUGUGACAGUCAGUCCACCUGUCUCCAUCAGAACAAGCCCUGUGAUGUGGCCCAUGUGCGGGGAAGUAUGGCCCUUAAGGCAGAGUGCACCGGGAGAAGUUCCCGCUCUCAGAGAAGGUCCACCUAGUAACACAGCUCCUGGUGAGGCCAAGGCCAGAACUUGAACACAGGCCCAUCUCCAGAGGCCCGCAGAGCUGACCCGCCCUCCAGGCAGCACGAACCUCUUCCUUCCCAUGGUGACUCACCCUCCGUGCCAUCCUGUUCAGGCCAGGCUCUGACCCUGUGGGAAGCAGCCAAAGGGCACAGCAUGUCCACAAAGGCCAGGGUGGCGUCCUCUUUGUUCAUUUCCGCUCGUAAGGAGUAGGUCCCGACCUGUCCUUCAUGGACUAGAAAGUGUCAAGGGGAACCAAGAAAAGAAAGGUUGCAAAUAUUCUAAAUAUGGCUCAUUUCAAAGGGCGAGAGGACCAGAACCCGAAGACACGGAUGCUGACACAGGCCUUUCGGUUUCAUCUCAUUUAGGCUCCAGUCAGCAAGCACAUCCUGCCGAACACGUCCUGUUCUCAACGGCCUUUUGGCCUCAAACGUCCGACCACCUAACUCAAACUGGAUUAAAUAGCAAAGGCAAUUCAUCAUUGCACCUGACAUAAAAACACAGAGGUGGGCUUGACAGUCGGGCAUACUGCGAUCUGGGCUGUAUUUCUGCCACUUUCUCAGCCCUGCCCACCGACCUGUAUUUGCCAGGCUCUCCCCCACGAUUGCAAGAUGGCACCAACUGCCUCAUUCACACCCAGCCAGGGCUGAGCUUCGGGCCAAUGGAGCACGUCCGGGGUCCAGGAGAUGGAUGCUCUGAUGGGCCUGGCUUACCCGCCCUGCCCACCGUUCCAGGGACACCUGGUACCCUGGGGCCGGGAGCAGAGUCCCCACCUCCCAGACUGCUGAAUGGGGGGGUAGAGGUGAGAGGACGGUGGGCAUACGACCCCACAGUCCGUUACGUGCACUGUGUGUACAAGGGGAAAGGGGAAAUGGCUGUCUGACCUCAGACUUUUUACAGAACAAAUUUGGAGUUCAUCACUUUAAGAUAAUGGAGAAGACCAAAAUAGGGUCUUUUCCUCCGAGACCCUCGAAGACUUCUUGGAAGAAAAAUGCAUGGACACCCACCUAUACGGUGUGGGGCCUGUAUGAGGUCCUGGAAUAGAAACACGGAAGGGAUACACCCCUUGGCCUGGAGGUGCCCGGGGGGCCCUCCCCCCUGGGGCUAGCAGCUCUCAGGCUCCAUGUCCUGUGGGAAAACCUGAGGGGCUGAGGCCGUGGGCACAGGAUCUCAGUGGUGGGGUGGGCUGCUGGGCGGCUGCCUCGGUGCCUCCGGCAGGGUGGCAGCUCAAGGACACCGAGCCCUGCCUCCUUCCGAGGUCUGCCAGGGUGCUCUGAAUUCUCCUGGUUCCAGAGGACGGAGAGGCCUGGGCAGUCUCACAGGGCAUCACUGGAAAGCCUCUCAGAGUUACCGUCCACGUUCUCUCUCCUCUGUGAAAGGCAGAUGGGGCCACCAAGGCCUGGGAAAGGAAGGAAGGGGUUUGCUUUGGGAAGGACCAUUUCAUGCAGCCUGCCUCUGAUUGUCUUCCCUCCGAGUGACCUCUUCUUUUCAAAGCACUGGCCUUUUCCAAGGUCUGGGAAGAACAGCCAAGAAAAGCUGGGGGCCGCCUUCUUUUAGGGUUGACCUUUCCUCCCUUUCAUGUGGUAAAGAAGCCCCCUUUGAGGGCCGCAGUGUGUGAGCCUUUUAAUUGCAGAGCUAAUCCGAACCAGAGCAAGACCAUCCGUGCCCCUUGUUUGCAUUCAUUCAUCUCCAAAGGGGACCUGGGCCCCUCCCUUAUCUGGUCUUGUAUCAGCCGAAUGACGCAAAUGUUUACAAAGGGCUCAGCAAGAGAUAGCACAUUAUCGCUCCUUCCCACCAUAGAUGGCGUGGGAGGGGCGUUUACUCUCUUAAGAUUAUUAAAUCUUAGCUCCCAGUGGGUGAGGCAACCCAGACCUCCGAGAAACUGCUCUGCCCCCCGUGCAUGGCCCUGCACAGCUGGGAUGUCCCAGGAAAGAGAAGAAGAGGGGCCUCCCGCAGCACCGCCACCAGAAGGGGCACCGGGACCGAUUAUGAGGAAACUGGAAGCCUGGCGGUGUGUUUGAGGAUCUCUGAGACCCCCCUCCAUGCCAACACCCAUGCCCACACCUGAUCAUAUGCAACACGAAGCCCUGCUCUCUGGGCCCACCAGCCCAGGAUGAGCCACUGAGAGCUUGGCAAAGCCCGGGCCUGCCUGGAGACAUCUGCCUUUGCCCUUUGUCUUCCUGAGCACUGCCUGGGGGACCGAUGAGGCCACACACCUACAGGUCGGCAGCACCCCGAGGUUGGACGGGAAGAGGCGGAGACAGGAAUAGGUCCACGCUUCUUAAAGCUCCUUCUGGGACCUGGAGGUUCAUUUCCAAACUGAGAGAUUGCAGGUCUGGCUCCUUGUGCCCACCUCACCAUGUCUGCCCACCAUCACGUUGAUAGAACUAUUCUAUGUGGAUAACGGGCUGGAAAACCUCAAAGGAAUUGAAAAGUUAGGAUGUAUUUGAGGAAAACCGUAGCCGACGCAUGGUGGUCGGGCUCCUUCCACCAUUGCCUGGGUGACACCCUGUUCCGGGCUCUGACUCCAGGACAGCCACGACUCCCCACAAGCCAAGCUUGCUGCAGCUGCGUCCUUUGGAGCUGGGACACGAGGUUCUUGGUGGAUCACUCUUCCCUCGAGAGAUGUGUCCUCUGAAUUUAUCCAGGUUGGAGUCCGCUGGCCACCGGUCAGGACACAGAUGGGCACAGUCCCUGGCGAGGUCCUGCUGGCGACCCUGGCGGGGGCAGCCCACCAAAGGCAAUGUGCUCCCCAUCACCCCGUGGCCGAGGCCUCGGCCUCAACAAGCAGAGGGAAGCAGGCACCCCUGCUCCUUUCAAGGCCCCCCUGCCCUGUGCACCACCAGCCCCCACGUUAAUUUAAGAAGCUAACUAAGACUAUUUGGCCCACUUGCCAGGAACUGAAGAGGGUGGGAGAGCGAUAAGCCAAGCUCUUGCUUAAUUAGAAGCACAUUUGUACGAGGUUAGGCCUGGCAGGAAAAUGACAAAGGCAGUUAGAAUUUUUAAAUCGAGCCAUUCUGUCCUGAGAGAUUUCUUCCAGACCCUGGUGGAUUCGGGAUGCUGGGUUUUCUCUUCCAACAGAGCCUGAACAUCUGAGCUGGGGUGAGCCAAGUGUUAGUCCCCUGUUGUUUUCAAACAAGUGGAACUUUUUUCCCCAAAGUGACCCCACCUCUUGAGCCCAUGGCAAGAAUGAGGCAUGCUAGGCACGCGCCUGGACACGGUGACGGGUGUGGGGAGGACAGGGGGCGUCUGCAGGAACCACAGACCUUCGAAAUGCCUCAGUAAAAACGGCUUCUUCGGAAGGCCUUCCUAAGCCUGCCUCCUAAGGCUGCAGCCGAUGAAGACACUGCCCAAGUGCCGGGUGAGAAAAGUGAGAUGCACUCACGUCUGACAGCCAUGUCCGCCUCUUCGAUCUCUGUGACUCCAGAGGGCAGACCUGAGCCAUGGGGAAAUCACAGGGGGACAGACUUCCUAUGGCUGGCACUGCCCACGAAGGCAACCACAGGCAGCUCACCCUACCUCUGGGUGCUGAGAGACCGGAACCCCAUCUCCUGGCCAUGUUGGGAAGGGGGCCUACAGUGGGGGCAGGGCUAUGGGACUACGUGAACAUCCGCCCGUGAUCUGAAAAUUCUCUGAUGCUAGAUUAUUCUGUGACCCUCUGGAAAAGAUGUUUCUUGCCCAGAAGUUUGGAAAACAAUUGUUCUUGUACAUUUUACUGUUGACUGUCAGGUCCUUUUCUGGAUGAGAAUCCAUUUGAUAAAGCAAAAGACUUUAAUGCUCUGCACUGG